ACACAUGCAAGUCGAACGAGAAUCUACUGAAAGAGUUUUCGGACAAUGGAUGUAGAGGAAAGUGGCGGACGGGUGAGUAACGCGUGAGGAACCUGCCUUGAAGAGGGGGACAACAGUUGGAAACGACUGCUAAUACCGCAUGACGCAUAGGGGUCGCAUGAUCUAUAUGCCAAAGAUUUAUCGCUUCAAGAUGGCCUCGCGUCUGAUUAGCUGGUUGGCGGGGUAACGGCCCACCAAGGCGACGAUCAGUAGCCGGACUGAGAGGUUGAACGGCCACAUUGGGACUGAGAUACGGCCCAGACUCCUACGGGAGGCAGCAGUGGGGAAUAUUGGGCAAUGGGCGCAAGCCUGACCCAGCAACGCCGCGUGAAGGAAGAAGGCUUUCGGGUUGUAAACUUCUUUUAAGAGGGAAGAGCAGAAGACGGUACCUCUAGAAUAAGCCACGGCUAACUACGUGCCAGCAGCCGCGGUAAUACGUAGGUGGCAAGCGUUGUCCGGAUUUACUGGGUGUAAAGGGCGUGCAGCCGGGUCUGCAAGUCAGAUGUGAAAUCCAUGGGCUCAACCCAUGAACUGCAUUUGAAACUGUAGAUCUUGAGUGUCGGAGGGGCAAUCGGAAUUCCUAGUGUAGCGGUGAAAUGCGUAGAUAUUAGGAGGAACACCAGUGGCGAAGGCGGAUUGCUGGACGAUAACUGACGGUGAGGCGCGAAAGUGUGGGGAGCAAACAGGAUUAGAUACCCUGGUAGUCCACACUGUAAACGAUGAAUACUAGGUGUGCGGGG
rnacentral:rRNA from 1 species